CCUACGGGUGGCAGCAGUAGGGAAUAUUGCUCAAUGGGGGAAACUCUGAAGCAGCAACGCCGCGUGGAGGAUGAAGGUUUUCGGAUUGUAAACCUCUUUUGUUAGAGAAGAAAAUGACGGUAUCUAACGAAUAAGCACCGGCUAACGUCGUGCCAGCAGCCGGCGUAAUACGGAGGGGGCAAGCGUUACGCGGAAUCACUGGGCGUAAAGUGCGCGUAGGUGGGAUAGCAAGUCAGAUGUGAAAGCCUAUGGCUAAACCGUAGAAGUGCAGUGGAAACUGGGAUUCUAGAGUAUGGGAGAGGUAGGUGGAAUUCUUGGUGUAGCGGUAAAAUGCGUAGAUAUCAAGAGGAAUACUCAUUGCGAAGGCGACCUGCUAGAACAUAACUGACGCUGAUGCGCGAAAGCGUGGGGAGCAAACAGGAUUAGAUACCCGGGUAGUC
rnacentral:rRNA from 1 species